rnacentral:rRNA from 1 species
GAAUAUUGGGCAAUGGAGGCAACUCUGACCCAGCCAUGCCGCGUGGGUGACGAAGGUCUUCGGAUUGUAAAGCCCUUUCGGCGGGGACGAUGAUGACGGUACCCGCAGGAGAAGCCCCGGCUAACUUCGUGCCGGCAGCCGCGGUAAUACGAAGGGGGCUAGCGUUGUUCGGAAUUACUGGGCGUAAAGGGCGUGUAGGCGGCCCGUUAAGACAGGUGUGAAAUUCCUGGGCUCAACCCAGGACGUGCGCCUGUGACUGGCGGGCUUGAGUCCGGGAGAGGAUGGUGGAACUCCCAGUGUAGAGGUGAAAUUCGUAGAUAUUGGGAAGAACACCCGUGGCGAAGGCGGCCAUCUGGACCGGUACUGACGCUAAGGCGCGACAGUGUGGGGAGCAAACAGG